AUUGUAUAUCUUUUAGAACCUGUCAUUGAUACUGUCUCAACCCCCAGAUGUUUCAGAAGAAUGGAACUUGCUAUUAAUUUUAACAUAUUUUCUACCCAUUAACUAUGUCAAUUAAUUCCAAAUGUUAUAUAUGACACAGAGGCCUGUUGGGCUUUCACUGACCGGAUCUCACUCUGUUAUACCUAUCUUCAGACCAUAGAAGCUCCCCAAGAGGCCUCUGACUUAUCUGGACAUUAAAUACUCUGAACUUUAUUCUAGGCAU